AGAUAACACCUUGAUGACAGGUGAUUUAUUUUCAGAAUGAUAUAUAUUUAUACUGUCUUUGGGACAGCGCUUGAUAUACAGACAGCCUUUGGGGCGUAUGUCAGGUGGUCACCCUUUGGGGGUAGCUCUGCACAUGUGUAUGACCAGUAUUUUAUUUGCUCUUGGGCCAAAUUUGUCAUUAUAGAGCCUAAGAUGCCAGCAUUGCUCUCAGGCUGUCAUUGUUUUAUUAUACCUGAGAUGCCAGCAUUAUCUGCAGGGAACAUAUUAUGAGUUUCCUUUUUGGUGAUCUACUCGGCAGUCCUCAUCUUCUUGUUUGUCCUUCCUUCCAUAUCGUCCACUCAGAGUCUAGAGGAGGUCGGACCAAUCCUAAGUUUUUUUUGUCUUUUCUUUUUGUACUUUUGAUAGAUCAUGUAUAGAUUGUACAGCCUAGUGGAAAAUGUAUUUUGUUGAUUGUAAAUAUUUUAUGAAUUGACAGGUCCAACUAUCAGUUUUUCUCUUUUAUGCUUAAUGUUUUGGAAUUAUGGCAGGUUACCUGUUUUUAUAUUAUAAAUAUCAGGGGAGGUUCUGUCAGUUUUCCUGGUCAUAUCCAUCUUUACAGUUUUGGGGUUUGGGUGUGACAUAUACUCUGAGGGAGUUGAGAGAAAUGGUUAAUCCUGACCAACUUCAAGUGGGUGAUCACAUUUAUACUUGGAGGGCUGUUGGAUACUCCCACCAUGGAAUAUAUGUGGGCGAGAUGAAUCAAGUCAAGUACGUGAUUCACUUCGUCACCACGGGCUCGGUAUUUAGCUCAAUCUCCUCAGUCAGUAGACCUAAACACCAGGCUUGCCAAGUAUGUGGAUAUGCAGAAAAUGUGAAUCGUGGAGUGGUGAAAACUUGCCUUGAUUGUUUCCUAUCAGGAGACAAAUUGGAAGUUAGGCAGUAUAAUGGAAAAACGAAACCAUGUGAUGAAGUUGUGGAGAUGGCCUAUAAGCUAUUGGAAAAGGGGUUCGGCCAAUAUGAUUUAGUUGUAAACAACUGUGAGCAUUUCGCAACCUUUUGUAAGAUAGGAGACCCCAGUAGCGCACAAGUCGGCGUUUUCGUAGGGAUCGGUAAUUUAGCUCCCGGUACUCCAUUCCAGUUGUUUAGUGCUUACCAUUUGAUUCGGAAGUGGACAUUCCGCAGAUAGAUUUGUUUAAGUUUGAAUCUCUCGGAACAAUUCUCUACAAGAAUGAAGAUGCUCCAGCUUCAGAACUCUUAAAAUACUGUCUGAGAAAACAAUGAGAGCCUAAUAUUGUUAAUUAUAUGCUUCCUCAUCUCAUCAGCCUUAAAUAAAGAGAGGAGUUAAUGAGAAAAAAAAUAAAAUAAAGUUAGAGAGAUUUCUGCGUUGGAUUCUCGGCUUUCAGAGGUGCAAGGCUAUUAAUAUAUCUACAAUAAAACCAAGCAGAUUUCAAACAGUAAACGCUGCAGGAGAUUGCAAUUCAAUUUUAACAUGUCCAUUUACUGAUUUAGCCCUCCAAUUUCUGUCCUUUUGCCUUCCUUUUUGAAGUUUUUUCGUCUUUUUCACCUUCAGUAAUUUGUUGCGUGCUAAAUGACCCGUUGGUCCACGUCCUACAACCAAAAUACAAGCAGACUUCUUCUCUCUCAAAAAUGGAACGGAAGAGAAAAGUGAGGAGGAGAGAAAAUCAAAUGUAAUGGCGAGCCUGUCUAAUGGCUAUGCACCGUCGUUGUUGUGUGUUCGCUUUUUUUAUUUCUUUUUCAUUGGGUGUUUUGCGUGGAAGAUAACUGUAAAGAUGGUGUGUGUGUGAGAAAGAGAGAGAGAGCGAGAGAGAGAGAGAGAGAGAUGGGCUUCGGCCAUUACUGACGAGCGCAGGUGAACCAAUGAAGGUAGGCAACGUCACUCUAUGCUCCUAUCAGGGACGAAUGAUAGCGGCGCUGCGACUUUGAAGCCCGAUUUCAGCAAUUCAGAGACCUUGAUUUGGAGUCCAUAAGCUCAAUCAAUUCUUUCUUCAAUGUUCUAUAUUUUAUUCUCAAUUUAGUUGAUUAAUCUUCAGUUUUAUUUUUUUUAUUUUCUUUUUUGUUGGAUGUUUUUGUAUGGAAGAUGAUCUGCAGAGAUGAUGAUGAUGAUGAUGAUGGAGAGAGCGAGCUUUUUGGCAAGCUCCAUCCAUUGCAGAUGAAUGCAGGUGAACCGGCGCAGGCAAGCAACAUCUCCCGGUGGUCCAUUAGUGACAAGCGAUGGCUUCAAUCCCAUUAGUGACAAGCGAUGGCGUCAAUCUUUAUUUGAAGUCUGAAAGAUCAAUCGCUUCUUUCUUUAUUCUAUAUUUUCUUCUCAAUUUAGGUGAUUAAUCUUCAGUCUUAGAUCUCAGAUCCAAAGGUGCUUGGAUAUUCCUAAGGUAUUCCAAGAUCAUGGCAAGGAUUGAGGUUUUGCAGAGAAGCCUAAGGUAUUAAAAUGACUCCGUGUAAAUUAAUUAUCUGUGUAUACAUUUUCUUGGGGUUGCAUUUUGGCUAAUGAUCUUUUAGUUAAUAGAUUAGCAUAAUCGACUCCUCUCUCCAUGGACUUCCAUUUUAGACCAACCAUGCCUCCAACUGUUGGCUUUCCAUGAGCUAAAAUAUGUAAUCAAAAUAUUCAGAUCCAUACUUAGAGAGAUUUUAAAUUACUUGCAAUCUUUGAUUGGUAUCGCUGAGAUUUAGUUUCACUUUAUUUAUUAAUUUGCUUUGUGAGGGAGAUGAAUGUCGGUUUAUCUCAUGACGAGGAUCUUUGUACUGUACAAAUGACUACAAAAGUAUGAAGCAAAGAGAAGGAGCUGGUUGCAGUUGCGGCCAGUGGUAUAUAGAUAGCAGAUAAAUGGAGCAGGAGCAGGCUAUUUUGACAUUGUGAUGAAGCUUGAGUUAAUAUCCCUAAUUAUUUAAUAGUAUGAGCUAAUUGGAAUCGUGUUAUACAAUGGGCACUAGGUUCAAUCAUAAUUAGAGCUACCAAAGAUAAAUCACUUGUGUACUAAUUUUAUGGUUUUGUGUGCAUUAAAUUUGAGUUAGAUCUAACUCAACUUAAAAGCUCAAGAGGGAAGAGCUCAAGAGGGAAGAGUGCCUAUGGCCCAUAUACAUUAUCCAUUUCCACGACCGACGUGGGAUUCAACAGUGUGUAUAUUCUUACUUUUGUCAGCUAGAUUUUCUUUUUUAUAAACUUCAUUGGAUUGAAAUAAUUUUUUUUUAUCAUAUGUUUUAUAUGGCGUCUUUAUUUAAGAUCAAGAUUAACUGAAACAUUUUCCUCUGGUUUUCCCUCUGCACUUUAAUUUGAUACAAGGAUCGCUAAUAUAAUAAAACAGUUGAUUUUGGCAAGCAGUAUUUGUAUUUUUCUUGAAUUUGGUAGAUGAUGCUAUCUAAUUCUGUUUUGAAGAUUACCUCUUUAAUAUUUAUCGUUAUACUUUUAUUUAUAUCGGUUAAGCAAGGAAAAGAGCAUGUGCAUGAAGCACAUUGCUCUAGAGAAAGAAGCAUGGAAAAUUACAUAGAUGAGGAGAAAUUGCUACUUUCAAGAACAUUCUUUGGAAAUAAACUGCGAUAGUAUUACUUUAUUUAAAAGUUUUUGGCUUACAACUACAAUAUUAUCUAUUUAUCUAAAUUAUUGUUUAAGCAUUGAAAAUUAGAUUUAGUUCAUUGAAAGAGAAAAAGAAUUGAAUUAAACUUUAUUUAUUGAAAUAAGUAAAAAAAAAAAAUCUAUGUAUCAUGAAUAGUGAUAGCCCGCAGCAACGCGCGGGUAUACUUCCAGUAUUAAUAUAGAGCAAAUAUAUAUCACAUGAUUUCUAACUAAUUAAUAAAUGGAGGAAUAGUGCAUCUUAUUUACAAAAUAGUCUUACAAGGUAAACAAAAUCAGAUACAUCUUAAGGUGGUUGAAUUCAAUUAAAGUGAAUAUUAAAUAUAUAUAUGUAAAUUGCAGGAACUUGAAUGUAUGAAGCAAUGGCAGCAUAAGUUUCAAGAAUCUCCUCUACACUCUUAUCUAUUGACCAGAGUUAUUAAUUAGUGAUGUGUCCUUAUUUUGAGUUCCUCAUCCUCGUUAGCUUUCAUUGGUUUCAACUUCCAUGCAUUGGCAGCCUUCAUUACUUAUUAGGAUUUCUAUUACACAAGUGAAUGUAGCAAAUCCAUGAUCAUUUAAGCUUUCCUCAUUUCCUUCUAAAUUCUACAGCAACAUAUGAUGUCUGCAGGACUAUGUAAACAAUUACAAAAUGAAAGAUAGCAAUCAAUAACCAUUUAGCUGUGUAUUGAAAGAGUUGACAGUUUGAGGGAAAAUGGUGAAUCCUGAUGAACUCUAAGUGGGAGAUCAUAUCUUUGUUUGGAGGCCUGUUGUUCGUGUGCUUGAUUAAUUAUUAACUAUUGCAGGAAUAUACGUGGGCGAGGUUAAUAAAGUCAAGUAUGUGAUUCACUUCAUCACCACAGGAACUGGAGCAUUUGUAGGCAGCAUCGGCGGCCGUCUCCGUCUUUUCUACUCUAAAAUCAAGUCUUGCAAACGAUGCAAAGAAUGUGGAUAUGCAGUGAAUCGUGGGGUGGUGAAAACCUGCCUUGGCUGUUUUCUCAGUGGGGGCAUAGUGCAGGUGGAGUAUUAUAAUUUUUUUUCACUGGAACCACGUGAAGUUGUGAAUACAGCCUACAGCCUAUUGGAACAUGGAUUCGGUGAAUACGAUGUUCUUGCAAAUAACUGUGAGCAUUUUGCCACCUUAUGUAAGGUUGGAGAGCCUCGCAGCAGACAAGUCGAAAAAGUUGGACAUGCUGUUACUCGUCGUUUGCCUGUUCUAAUUACAGCCCCUUAAUAAAUAUCUAUCUGUAUCUAGAAGACAAAGUCUUGCGAACUAAAAAAUUAUAAAUUAAAUAGUCCACUUAUAGAAUUUGAGAACAGAAAUAAAAAGAGCUUAAUAUUAUUAU